AAGAAUGUUUCUCAAUUAAAGAUCUGAGGGUGACAGUUGGAUUGGGACAUGCAAACUGUUUGAAGGUUAUUGAAGGUACCUAGCACACGAUAGUUGUUGGCUCCCAGGGAGAGGUUGGAUGAGGGUCAGGACAUAUCACAUAAGGCCUGUCAAUCAAAAAUUUGCAAGACUUUUGUUUAAUAUCUAGAGAGAUUGGCCCUUAUGAGAUAAAGAAUAAUUGGUCACUUGAUUCCCCCUUAGAGACACUUCAUUAAUUCCCUCAAUUUAUUUGUUUCCCUUUUGUUUUUUAGCUAAACCAGUGCAACUAUUUUUCUAAUAUUCUUUAUAUUCAAAGUAUGUAAAUUGAGAAAUUAAGGGAGAACCUAUAAGAAACAUUUUGUAAGGGCAGUCUCCUGCUCUUGCUCAGUAGGAUUUAAUAUAGUUUUAUUGUCAACUCUAACUUUACUCUUUUUCUAUGUGAAAUAUCACAUAUUUAUUCUCCACUUUGUGCUGUUCACCAGAAAGGAUCUCUCUCUUGCAUCUCUCCUAGCUACAUUCCACUUUUGCACUUACCUGAAUCUUUUGCAUAUGGUAGUUGGAAGCUAAGGGAAGAGGGGUCAUUCUCUCAAGUUCUGGUUAAGCUGCGGUCUUAGGGAGGCGCUGUAAACACGAGUCCCCGAUGUGAGGCUUUCACAAACAUACUUGCCCCUCCUCCAAAGGUAAUGCUGGGCUUCGAACCGAUUCUGCCGUUCUCAAGGCACAGGUUUUUUUUUCCUCUUCCUUCCUCUCUUGCAACCACAGUGGAUUCCCAUCUGUGCCCUCAAGCAACAGGUUUUGAUGAUCUUGCACUUUAAGGCUUUGUUCCACAUGGGAGUAAGAGAAGAUGACACUGAGUGGAUAUUAGGCAGCGGAUGCUGUUUCACUUCCCAGACAGAACCAUGAGAGAAGCUUUCCGAGGGUUUUGUCCAGUCUUCCCUGUGAGCACCUGGUGGGGUUCUUGAGGAAGAGGUUGCAAAAGGAUACAAAAUUACAUUUGCCUGUAUCCCCACGAGGCUUCCAGCUCUCAUGUUCACCCAUACUCAGACUUUAGCAAUUAUUUAAAAUUUUCUGGUUGCUGCUUCUUACCAGCUUAUAUUGCCACUACGUAUCUUAUGUCUCAGUCAGGGUUUGAGAAAUUCCACAGACAUUGAAUUCCAACUAAAUCUAUGUAGACCACUGCAACAGCCAUGAGGAUCUAGAUAUGCUGAGAUCAAGCUCUUUAUGACAUGACUGACCAGGCUACACAACCUCUUCUUGAUCCAGGAGGAAUGAUCAAAUUGAUAAACGAAAUUGAUGCUGAAAAAAAGAAGAACAGUCAAGAAGCAAUUGAAAAGGCUAAAGUUAGUAGGUAUAGAAAUUGGAAAAAAGAAAAAAGAGAGAGAAGGGAUGAAUAUCAGAGAGCAUUUUGUGGGGGAAAUUAUAGGGGAAAAAAAAGAAGGAAUCCUCAGCGUGAAUCCAGAAAACAAGGAGCUUCAAUGAUGACCCUAAUGUGAAGGAUGAACAAUCAUGACAGGAGCAAGAAAAACAGGGGUGCCCCACUUGGCAAUAAAGGAGACCUCAUGAAUUGGAUAUCUGAGCACCGGAUGCACAAAAGUAAUCAGAAAUCAGAGGAACUUCUAAAGAAAGCUAUUAUCAUAAUUUUAUUCUUCAAAUUUUAACGUGAAAACAUUUAUUUGAUCUCUUUAGGUUUGUUAAUAAAGACUGUAUAAAAUGUAUUUGAUUG
rnacentral:lncRNA from 1 species